UGGGGAAUAUUGCACAAUGGGCGCAAGCCUGAUGCAGCGACGCCGCGUGAGGGAUGGAGGCCUUCGGGUUGUAAACCUCUUUCGCCAGUGAAGCAGGCCAUCUUCUUUGUGGGGUGGUUGACGGUAGCUGGAUAAGAAGCGCCGGCUAACUACGUGCCAGCAGCCGCGGUAAUACGUAGGGCGCGAGCGUUGUCCGGAAUUAUUGGGCGUAAAGAGCUCGUAGGCGGCUGGUCGCGUCUGUCGUGAAAUCCCCUGGCUUAACUGGGGGCUUGCGGGGGGUACGGGCCGGCUUGAGUGCGGUAGGGGAGACUGGAAUUCCUGGUGUAGCGGUGGAAUGCGCAGAUAUCAGGAGGAACACCGGUGGCGAAGGCGGGUCUCUGGGCCGUUACUGACGCUGAGGAGCGAAAGCGUGGGGAGCGAACAGG
rnacentral:rRNA from 1 species